UUCUGGUUGAUCCUGCCGGACCUGACUGCUAUCGGAUUGAUACUAAGCCAUGCGAGUCAUUGUAGCAAUACAAGGCAUACGGCUCAGUAACGCGUAGUCAACCUAACCUAUGGACGGGAAUAACCUCGGGAAACUGAGAAUAAUGCCCGAUAGAACACUAUACCUGGAAUGGUUUGUGUUCCAAAUGAUUUAUUGCCAUAGGAUGGGACUGCGGCCUAUCAGUUUGUUGGUGAGGUAAUGGCCCACCAAGACUAUUACAGGUACGGGCUCUGAGAGGAGUAGCCCGGAGAUGGGUACUGAGACACGGACCCAGGCCCUAUGGGGCGCAGCAGGCGAGAAAACUUUGCAAUGUGCGAAAGCACGACAAGGUUAAUCCGGGUGAUUUGUGCUAAACGAAUCUUUUGUUAGUCCUAGAAACACUAACGAAUAAGGGGUGGGCAAGUUCUGGUGUCAGCCGCCGCGGUAAAACCAGCACCUCAAGUGGUCAGGAUGAUUAUUGGGCCUAAAGCAUCCGUAGCCGGCUCUGUAAGUUUUCGGUUAAAUCUGUACGCUUAAGGUACAGGCUGCCGGGAAUACUGCAGAGCUAGGGAGUGGGAGAGGUAGACGGUACUCGGUAGGAAGUGGUAAAAUGCUUUGAUCUAUCGAUGACCACCUGUGGCGAAGGCGGUCUACCAGAACACGUCCGACGGUGAGGGAUGAAAGCUGGGGGAGCAAACCGGAUUAGAUACCCGGGUAGUCCCAGCUGUAAACUAUGCAAACUCAGUGAUGCAUUGGCUUGUGGCCAAUGCAGUGCUGCAGGGAAGCCGUUAAGUUUGCCGCCUGGGAAGUACGUACGCAAGUAUGAAACUUAAAGGAAUUGGCGGGGGAGCACCACAAGGGGUGAAGCCUGCGGUUCAAUUGGAUUCAACGCCGGG
rnacentral:rRNA from 1 species